GAUUUUUCAGGUGCAAAUUUUAUUGUGGAUCAUAAUAAAGGUUUCAGAAAAAGCACAGGAAAAAUUCAGCAAUGGUGUCUCUUACUUACAGGGUACAUAAAAUACAUUCUGUGAAAGCUAACUCUUCAGCUGAAAGCAAUGCAGCUUAAUUUAAACUAACCCUUACUUUCAGAUACACAUGUUAAGAAGCAGAUUUUGCAAAUAUUCUAUUUUUUCAUUAGUUUGAUAUUGAAAUUGAGAACCAAAUAUUACAGUGAAACAUACAUUGUUGCAGAGUGUGUAGUAUUAAACUGUUAGACAGAAAAGAAAAUCUCAUUACUGGAAAAGAAACACUCAUACAGAAGAUAUUGCCAAAAUAUGUAAAAUCAGCCCUAGUAACUACUAAAUGACUCAAAACAUCUUUGGAAAAAUUGUGGAUGCUGAGGUACACAUAAUUUGGGAAUUUUGGUGCUGCUAUCUCCAUUUUUCAUGUGAGACAUCAAAAUGAAAGACCUUAAUUUAAGCUAAUUUUAACUUUCUACAAAGGAUUUCUUCAGCUUUUAAUUGUACUUCUCACUGUAAAAAGAAACCCUACACUAAUUCUUAUAGGAAAAUGACAAAAGUCUAUUAGAUAAUAGUGUAGAAAAUCUUGCAAGAGUUAUUCAAGGCACUGUUCUUUUUUGCGUGCUUGGCACACACACAGGCCAUUCAUGAAAGCUGUUUUGAUAGGAAGACAGGAACAACAAAAACUAGACCUAAAGCUAGUAUCCAGUUUAUUAAAUAUCAUAUAUAUCUUUCUCUAAUGAAAUAAAUCCCAUUACUUUUAAAAGUCAUUUUGCUUUAUGUGACUGUCGCUUGCAGCAAGGUGUCUGCUAAAUUAAUCUGAAACAUGAAUUUAAAAACACACUUUCAGAAAUUAAGAACAAAAGUCAACUGAGUAGCAUUUACCUCAAUCAAUAUAGUCUGCCUGAAUGCAAACCAUUCACAAGUACUGUAACCCUCUGUAAAACAGAAAGGACCAAACCCUCUGUUGAUUUAACGCCACUGGUUCACAUGGAGAUAUGCUGAUCGGCAACUUGGUCCACAGUCAGUCGAAGUAGAUUUGGACAUUAUACAACACUUGCUGCUCCACUUGAAUUCCUGAACUACGUAUAAGGCUGCUGCCGCCCUAUUACAGGAAGAUAUCUACUGACUAAGAAAUGGAAAGAACUAAAUAUUCUUCAGUCAGCUCAUUUAAUAAGAAACUUGGUGCAUCUGUACUCCAUCAGAAAUAUAGAGCAAUCAAAUUCUGGACUUUAUGUGUGUAUCUCAGGUAAAAUUAUGAAAAGAUUCC
rnacentral:lncRNA from 1 species